rnacentral:misc_RNA from 1 species
CGAAAUGCGAUAAGUAAUGUGAAUUGCAGAAUUCAGUGAAUCAUCGAAUCUUUGAACGCACCUUGCGCUCCUUGGUAUUCCUUGGAGCAUGCCUGUUUGAGUAUCAUGAAAUCUUCAAAGUAAAUCUUUUGUUAACUCAAUUGGUUUCUACUUUGGUAUUGGAGGUCUUUGCAGCUUCACACCUGCUCCUCUUUGUUCAUUAGCUGGAUCUCAGUGUUAUGCUUGGUUCCACUCGGCGUGAUAAGUUAUCUAUCGCUGAGGACACUGUAAAAGGUGGCCAAGGUAAAUGCAGAUGAACCGCUUCUAAUAGUCCAUUGACUUGGACAAUACUUUUAUGAUCUGAUCUCAAAUCAGGUAGGACUACCAGCUGAACUUAAGC